CAGUAGCGUAUAUUAAAGUUGUUGCAGUUAAAAUGCUCGUAGUUGAAGUUCGGAUGCAGCAGAGCUUGGAAACGCUGUUAUGGUGCUUCCGGUGCUUUUGCUUAUCCACAGUGCGUUGCAAGUACGUAUGUGCUUGUGCGUGCAUUUUACUUUGAGAAACAUAGGGUGUUCCACGCAUGUUACGGCAUGAAUAUUCCAGCAUGGGAUAAUCUGGUACGACUUCCAAUCUGCCAUUUUGGUUCGUAGGUUGGAAGUAAUGAUUAAUAGGGACUGUCGGGGGCAUUGGUAUUUGACUGUCAGAGGUGAAAUUCUUAGAUUCGUUGAGGACCAACCACUGCGAAAGCAUUUGUCAAGGAUGUCUCCAUUGG
rnacentral:rRNA from 1 species